rnacentral:rRNA from 1 species
CAGCACCUCAAGUGGUCAGGAUGAUUAUUGGGCCUAAAGCAUCCGUAGCCGGCGCUGUAAGUUUUCGGUUAAAUCUGUACGCUCAACGUACAGGCUGCCGGGAAUACUGCAGCGCUAGGGAGUGGGAGAGGUAGACGGUACUCGGUGGGAAGGGGUAAAAUCCUUUGAUCUAUUGAUGACCACCUGUGGCGAAGGCGGUCUACCAGAACACGUCCGACGGUGAGGGAUGAAAGCUGGGGGAGCAAACCGGAUUAGAUACCCGAGUAGUCC